GGUCGCGGGGUCUCCCCCAGCCAGACGCCCCGCGCCCACGGGGCCUGCCUGCGGACGCCCCGGCUCCGAUUUGCAUUCUUAGUCACCCGCCUCUUCCCUGGUUUGGGGGAACGCAGGCUAAAAAAAGGCGGCUGCGAGGCCCGGGCUGCCAAUUUUGGAGCCGCGCUGCGCUGCGCUGCGAGCGGGCCGCCCCGGAGGAGCGUGUGUGACGACGGGGGGCGGGGGGGGCUGCCGCGCGCUCUCCCUUUUUUGGGCAUCCCUUGGAACAAAACUCCCGUAUUUUCACUGGAUGUCUCUAGUUCCAACUGGAGGAGGCCUGCGCCGGAGUUGACGCCUCCGAUCCGCCCCCACCUGUUACAGGCCUUCGCGCCCCGGGACGUCUGGGGCGCUGGGACCUGGGGGCGCGGCAGGGCGCCCAGCUGCGGACCCGCGAACCACACAGGCCUCGGCCCCGGGGCCUCCAGCAGAAGAGACUGGGGAAUCCGCGGUUACUUCGCUGCUUAAAAAGCGGCCUUACCCGGGUGGCUCAGCGGUUGAGCGCCUGCCUUGGGCCCAGGGCGUGAUCCCGGGGUGCUGGGAUCCAGCCCCACAUGGCGCUCCCCGCAGGGAGCCUGCUUCUCCCUCUGCCUCUGUCUCAUGAAUGAAUAAAUAAAACCUUUUUUUUUUUUCAAGUUCCCUCACCUGAACCUGGCGGUAGAUUUGGGAGGAUAAUGGCAACGCUCCUCAAACCUGAGGGUGGAUCUGAACCCUACGGCAACGGAAUGUCGGUGCUUCUCAGCACAUUUUAUAAAAUUGCAUUCUGACCACCGGGUUCUAAGAAGGGCAGCAUAAGGGGCCGCUGGAGUGGGGCGGCCAGGGUUGAAAUUGGGCCCCUGUCACUUCCUAGAAUGUGGAUGGACCCUUGGUUAAAUCUGUUGUGAACUGCGUCUUCCACGUGGCCUAAUGAAGAUAAUAAAAAUAUUUGCUUUAUAGGAUCUCUGUGGUGGUUGAAUGGAUGAAAUGCCCUAGCAUGAUGUUGAUGUGCUUUCAGCUAUUGAUGUUUUUAUCGUUCUGGAUUCCCAACCUGCAGUGUUCUGAGUCCAUAUCUAGAUGCCCUUGGAGGGCCUGCCUAACAGCCCUCCCAGAACUCCCUAGUCUACAGAGAAGCCCUCUGAGGGACUGCCCUAGGUCGUUUAAUCCGUCCCAAUUCAGCUGUGGAGCAAAGUAGGUGCUGUUACAGACCGGGGUCCAAAUCCUUUAACAUGGUUAACACAAUGUACCCAGCUCCCUAACUUCUCCCUAACUGAUCCGCUUUUAAAACACCCUGUUUCCCCACCACACCAAAUUGAUAGAGUAGAAAUGAUAUGUAAAUUGGGCAUUUACUGCUUGAAAGGCUGGGUCUUGAUUUCAGUCUUUACUUGCAUAAUUUUGGUCAGUCUUCAGAAAACCCAUGUAAAUCAUCCCCAUUCACAAAGAUUAAGGAAUUUGUAUGAAGUCAUACAGUAACAAACAAUGGGGUCAGGAUUUGAGGCCAGACCCUGUACAGACCAGUAAGGUUGACCACAUACACAUCUCACAGCUUACCCUGGAGGCUGCGCACUGAACAGUGCCGUGCCAAAAUUUGAAGGAUUCAGUUCUACAUUUUGAAUUUUGACCAGUAGGCUUUUCCAGCUUCACAUACUCUCUGUCGCACCUUCCCCAUAAAUGUCAAAGAUCAAAAGUUAGACUCCUAUCCCCCGCUCCUUUUACAUUGGGUUUUCUCUGCAUGCACGUCUUCAUUAGUCAGCCAUUCACUAAAUACUUCAUGUUUUUCUCCUUGGAGUUUGUCUUAGACUCGAAUCCUAACAACUGCCAUUACUAAUCGAGUAUGUCGGCUCAGCACAUGGGCCUGGGUUCCGACCUUAGCUCUGCCACUCACUAAGCUAAGGGGAAAAUCACUUAGCUUCUCUGGGCCUCCAUUCAUUCAUUCAUUCAUUCAUUCACUUAUUUUUUCUGGGCUCCGGAAAUCAGUAGGGAAUAAAAGAGGCAAGAAUACCACCACCACCCCUCAAAGCUUACAUUCUAGUGAAGACAGACAAUAACCAGAAUAAUUAUACAAUACAUUAGGAAGUAAAAGUACUGUAGGGAAAAACAAAGCAAAGAAGGGUGUUCAGCAGUAUGUAAAAUUAGGAAAUGUUAUACCUUCAUCACAGGACAAGGAGGAUUAGAGACACACAAAAAGUAUAGGGCACAAAAUGAGUAUUCGAAAGAUGAUGUUUUUAAAACUCAACUGGCUUGGUUCUGCAGAAAGCGGACACCCUGUUGCUGGUGAUCUUGCCUUGAACCUCAUCAUCCUGGCCCUGUUGCCCAGGUUCUUAGGAAAAAGAGCUCAGAAAAGUUCUAGCAUCAGGAAGGACCACAGGCCUCCUGAUUUCCGGAGGCCCCAGCUCCCUGCUGAGGGUAUCAUUCAUACCCAGAGAACUGUGUUUCCAGACCGGGGAGCAAAGCCGGUCAUCUCUUACCCCUCAUAAGAGCACAGAAGCGUUGUUACACAUCCUAACUUCUCUGUGUGUAUGUAUUUGUGCUAUGCACCAAGCACCCAUGCUUGAAUUCUUGCAUCAGGUGGGUCCCCUUGGAAAGCUCCCUAAAAGUAAGUCUUUUGCUCACGAAUGUUAGCUUGCCUGCUGGAGAAGCAUUCCAACUCUGCAGAAAUUUUCCUGUGUUUGAGGACACUCGUGGUUUACUAGACCCAAAAGCAUUAGCAUGCCCUUUAAUCGUCUUGGCGUAAUCUCUGUGAAUACAAUAACAUCGAUUAACACAUCAUGUGAAAAUAGUUAAACAGUUUUCUGUUAGUAAGGAGAGAGCGUUUUGGAAGUUCUGACUCCAAAUGUAGUCUUGUGACAUAUUCACUACUCACUCACUUUUAGAAGUCCCAAGGAGCCUUCACCACCUGACAGCCAGUGGCUUUCUGAGCAGCUAAAUCUCACAACAGAAUUUCACUGCGGUUGAGAAUCAUGCUUGACAUAGUCUGGCUUUAAGGGGCGUAUGGGGUUCACAAAACUCAAGCUGAGCUCUCCUGGCAGGUGCCUCAAAAAGACAGCAAGUUAUGUCUGAACAGCAGGAAAUGUGGAACCCAAGAGGCCCAAAGGACUGACAAAAGGAAACACGUUCUGCACAUUUUAGGCUGUAUGUACAUAGGGAUAACCAAAGGGAGUUGCAAAUAUGAGCCCCAAGUGAAAAUACCAUGACUGCUGAGCCCGGUUUGCAGUCCAGCAGCUUGCCCCUGGGUGAGGCGCUGCAGGGUCGUAGGAAGCACAGGCUAAGGAUUUUCCCAAACAGUGUGUGGGGCCGGGGGAGAGGCGGGCCAGGUGAGACAGCAACUAACAGGUAGCUAGACGGCAGCAGUGCCGGAAUCACACGUCCACAGUCCCAUCUGGGGAGUGGCCGGAGCUUUCCGACAAACCAGAUGGCACUUUUACACCUUGCCGGGAUGAUCGGACCCGAAGAAAAAUAGAAACUAUUGUGGAAUUCAGACCUAGGCCCCGAGCAGGCUAAGCUGUUCAAAAAAAUUACAAUCUUCAUCAACUUUUCUGUGUUUUUGUUUCCCCAUCACCCGAUGGAUUGCAGGUCGGUUUACAUUCCGGGGCCCAUGGAGACGUGAUCUAGAAUAUUCUGUUGAAGCUGGACAGUCUCGCAAAGAAGUUCAUUUAAAGCAUCAAGUUCUUGAGCACCCGCCAUGUGUCUGGAACUGAAAUGAUUGCUGGGGACACGUGGAGAUCAGAGUCAGACCCUGGUGUCACAAAAAGUCUCGGAGUCUGUCCUCAAAGCAAAGGGCACCUGGCCAUACCCUUUCCACCUGCUGCCCGGCCCUUUCCCACAACUAGAUCUCCAAUUCACCACCCUGGACUGCACCAGAACUCUCUCCUCUCUUUGGAAAAGUAUCAUGGGUAUCUAUCACAGAAAGCACUAGUGAGAAAAUGCUUGAAAUUUUGCCAAAAUCACUUUGUCAUCUACCUUUUUUUUAAAAAAUAUUUUAUUUAUUUAUUCAUGAGAGACACAGAGAGAGAGGCAGAGACAAAGGGAGAAGCAGGCUCUCUGUGAGGAACUUGAUGCAGGACUCGAUCCCAGGACCCCGGGAUCAUGACCUGAGUCGAAGGCAGAUACUCAACCACUGAGCCACCCAGGCGCCCCUGUCUUCUACCUUUUAAAAAGUCCAUGCUCGGGCUACCUGCUGAGUUGGUGCAAGAUAUUCUGAAGGAUAGGAAGAUAAAUCACACUGAGACACUCCCUUCCAAGAGCUAACAGGUGGGAUUGUGACAUAAGAGAGAAUAUUACAAAGGUAGCAUCCGGCAUGCUAUUAGGACAAUUCAAAGUUCCAGAUCCAAAAGGCUGGUCAUGUUGGGUGACUGACGUGAUAGUCCAUCCAUCCAGAGUCCUUCCCUUUAUAUAUGACAACCAAGUGGUUGCAGAGUGAUACAGCAAGGAGACAUGUCAGGAACACGUAAAGAGAAGAUAAUAAAUGCUUCUUUCUCAGGUAUGUUCACCUGACUUCUCUUUAAUGAAGUAUUUGCUCUGGUACAAUAAAUUAUUCUAAUUCAUUGGUUCUCUCCUAAUAUACACUUCUUGGAAAACUUACUGGUAAACUUUGUGCCAAAGCAAUUGAGAGAUUACAAAUCACAGAAGAAGAAUUAUUUUUAAUCCUUAUACAAAUAGAUCAUAUUCUAAGGGCAGUUAAAAAUAUCACAAUAUCACAGUCUGCCUUUACACCUACUCGUCCAUUACUCGUUAGAUUCCUUUACUACAAAGGGCUCCAGGAAAAAAACUAGAAACAUAGCUGUGCUGACAACAAAGAGUCAGUUAUGAAGGGAAAGUAGAAAAGAUUUAUCCAUUUGUUAAUAAUGUAGCCAUUUGCUAAUUUAAUUUCUGCUAGAAAUUAAAUUAGCAAGGUGACAUUCACUUCUGAAAAAAAAAACAAAUAAAGGAAGGAAAAAAAUUUUUAAAAAUAAGGAAGGAAGGAAGGAAGGAAGGAAGGAAGGAAGGAAGGAAGGAAGGAAGGAAGGAAGGAAGGAAGGAAGGAAGGAAGGAAGGAAGGAAAGAAGGUGCAAGCCACAGGCUGGGAGAAAAUAUUUGCAAAAGACACAUCUGAGAAAGGACUGUUACCUAACUUGAAACUCAGCAGUAAGAAAAUGAACAACCUGAUUAAAAAAUGGGCUAAAGACCUUAAUAGACACCUUCCAAAGAAGAUAUACAGAUGGCAUAUGAAGAGAUUCUUCACAUCCAAUGUCAGCAGGGAAAUGCAGAUUGAACCAACAAUGAGAUGCCACUGCACACCUAUUAGAAGGGCCAAAAUCCAGAACGCUGGCAUCACCAGAAGCUGGUGAGGAUGUGGAGCAACACAAACUCUCCUAUGUUGCUAGUAGGAAUGCAAAAUGGUGCGAUCACUCUAGAAGACAGUUUGGCAAAUUCCUAACAAAAUCAAACAUACCCUUAUCAUAUGAUCCAGCAGUCACGCUCCUCAGUCUUCACCCAAAAAGUUGAAGACAUGUUCACACAAAAAUUUGCACACGGAUGUUUAUAGUGGCUUUAUUCAAAAUUGCCAAAACUUUAGAAGCAACCAAGACGUCCUUGGGUCGGUGAAUGGAUAAAUAAAGUGUGAUUCAUCCAAUGGAAUCUUAUUCAGCACUAAAAAGAAAUGAGCUAUCAAGCUAUGAGAGGCCAUGGACGAAACUUAUAAGCGUAUUGCUAAGUGAAAGAAGCCAACCUGAAAACCUGUAUACUCUGUGAGUCCAACUAUAGGACACUCUUGAAAAGCAAAACUACGGAGAUAAUAAAAAAAAUAAAAUAAAAUAAAAAAUCAAGUGACUGCCCAUGGUUAGUGGGAGGGGGUGAUGAAUUGGUGGAACACAGAUUUUUAAAUCAGUGAAACUAUUCUAUGUGAUACUGUAAUGGUGAAUACGUCUCAUUAUACAUUUGUCAAAAUCCACAGAAAGUA